rnacentral:rRNA from 1 species
GACGAACGCUGGCGGCGUGCCUAAUACAUGCAAGUCGAACGAGAGCGACCGGUGCUUGCACUGGUCAAUCUAGUGGCGAACGGGUGAGUAACACGUGGGUAACCUGCCCAUCAGAGGGGGAUAACAUCCGGAAACGGAUGCUAAAACCGCAUAGGUCUUCGAACCGCAUGGUUUGAAGAGGAAAAGAGGCGCAAGCUUCUGCUGAUGGAUGGACCCGCGGUGCAUUAGCUAGUUGGUGAGGUAACGGCUCACCAAGGCCGUGAUGCAUAGCCGACCUGAGAGGGUGAUCGGCCACAUUGGGACUGAGACACGGCCCAAACUCCUACGGGAGGCAGCAGUAGGGAAUCUUCCGCAAUAGACGCAAGUCUGACGGAGCAACGCCGCGUGAGUGAAGAAGGUUUUCGGAUCGUAAAACUCUGUUGUUAGAGAAGAACAAGUGCUAGAGUAACUGUUAGCGCCUUGACGGUAUCUAACCAGAAAGCCACGGCUAACUACGUG